GGAACUUAAGCACUACACCCCGGGGCUGGCCCUAUAAGCAAAUCUUGCUAAGUAAACAGUUGUUUGAUGAGUGAGCAGUUUGCCAGUUAAGCCAUCUAUUGUCCUGAGAAAUUGACCAAAAGCUGAAGUUGAGAUAAAUUGAUUUUUAGGAAGUUCCUAAAGCGAACAAUAAAAGUGUUUACUGGUAUAUGGCUUUAGGCCCCUGGGCAAGAAUUACUGGAACAAAUAAGCAAAUCAUGUUCCUGUAGGUGCCUUAGUUCUUAGUCUCCACUUCAGGUGUGUUGAUGCAAGCAGUCUCAGUUCUGAUGAUGUGCCUGUGUUUAUGUCACUCCUUCUGCAUUAGCACCCGUGGCAGUCCCAACUUGACAUUUGAUUGAUGUCCGUCUCUGCCAGUAGACUGUAUACUCUCUGAGGGAGAGUCUGUUUUGCUCCCCAUUUUAUCCCCGGUACUGGUCACAGCACCGGGAACAUGAAAGGUACUCAACUAAAAUUUGCCGAAUGAAUGAGACCUUGGACAAUAGCCUGGAUGGGACGAUGGGGGAAGAAAUCAGAGAUUACUUUGUCUUCAGUCCUAUGUUCGAGUCAUUCUAGUCAUGCCAAGAUGGGAGCUGGGGGAGCACAUUUUGAAGGCAAAGGUGAGAAGCUCCACUUUGGGAAACUGAGUUUCAUUUCCAGCAGGAAAUAUACAUCAGGAAUUCAGAGGAAAGACAAAAUCUAGGGCGAUAUAUGCAAAUUUUAUGAAUUUUGUUUCUUUGGAAUGACUUAAAAUCAAAGUAAUGUCGAGCUGUUGGAUGACUAUCACUGCUAUAAAUCUGACUUUAUCAGAGAAAAAUCCUUCUCAAAAUCCAUUUAGUUUGAAAGUCCCCCUCAGUCAGGCAAGGGCAAGACUAAUUAAAAUGUACUAGGUUGUAAAGAUAAUAUUAAAUGCAGGCAAAGCAUCUUCUGUGUGCCAGGCUCUUUUCUAAGUGUUUUACCUCCAUUAACUCAUUACACCUCACAAUAACUCUAUGAGGUAAGUGCUAUAAUCAUCUCCAUCUACAGAUAAGAGACAUGCAGAAUUGAGCCAAAGCUGCUUGCGACUACAUGAAGUAGGACUGGCUACGUGACUUAACUUUCUAUUCUGGGAAGUUCUUGCCCAAGAAGAUAAAGUUGCAAAAUAUUUGUUUCAAGAACCUCCUGAAAAUUCACUUAUUUGGAGAAUAGAUGGCUCAACUGGGAAAACGAGAUUGCUUCUCAAAAGGUUAUUGACUCAUCAAGAGUCACUUCAAAACCCAUGCCUUGCUGAAUUCACCAAUCGUAAACCAUUACAUCACAAAUUUGGCCGCAGUCACAAGCAGGUCCCCACACUAACAGUCUCCCCUUAAACCAGACUGCCUAAACCUUCUAAAUAUCCAUCCUUGAAGUCCCCUCUGAGACACACUGAGAUGAUGUCAAGAUGGUGCUCUCCCUUAUUGCAAUAAGCAAUAAACUUGGCUUUAUUUAGCAAUAGGUUAUUUUGGUUCUCUUAACAGAACCAAGAAAUUAAAGCCUUGUGCCCAGUUCUUUGCUGAUGUGUUCACUAAUUUCACAUGGAGAAGGAAGUUAAGGCCAGGAUUUACUAUCCAAAUGGACACCCACCUCACUUGGGUGAAGAAAGUUGUUUUACGAAAAUUAAGGGCAGAAUUCUUUGUAUCUGUUACAGAACUCAGCAUAGCAUUAUACUGAAUUAAAAUGAACCUAGACUAAAAGACAGAAGCAAGAUAGUUAAGUGAGUAUAGCCAAAAACAUAAUCAAAACUAGCCAGGUGACAAUGAAGGUUAGAUUGGGGAAGGUCCCACCUACUGUCAACCUCAGAGGUUAAAAAUACUGGCUUUGGAUUCAUAAAUGGGUUUAAGUUCUGGCUUUAUCAUUUUCCAAUGAUUUGACUUUGGGCCAUUAAUUUCCCCAAACCUCAGUAGCUCACCUAAUAAUGUUAGUACCUACAAGAUAGAGUUAAUGUGAGGACUAAAUGGGAUAGUGUAUGCCAAGAGUUUGUCAUGGUGUAAUUGGUGGUAUUUAUUGUUAUUAUUGUAAUUCACUGCAGGAUUUUAGGGCUUGGGAAGAAGGAAGAUAAGAUCAGUGGUAUACUUGAAGGGGACUGGAGAAUUCAGAGAAGAAAAAGUCUUAUAAGCUGGGAAUUCGGGAUUGGAUUUUUCUGUGGUAGUCUGGUGUUUUUCCAGGAAGAUUGGUUACCAAGGCGCAAAGGGUAGUUUCCCAACUAAACUCUCUCCACUUGAUAUUAGAGCACACUUUACCUCCCAAGAGGGCUGCCUGGGCAGAGUUUAGGACUGUAGGAGAAGCUUGAUCUUAGAAGUUUUAGAAUUUAGAACCCUGAGAGAGAGAUGGGAUCUGUCAACGAGAAACACCUAAGCGUUUUGUGGGGAUAUGUAGGAGGGGAAUUAAUUAAAACAGCGUGGGCUCCUGCAAAUCUGCUGCUUUAUUUCCUGGUCGACUCAGCAGUUCCAAAGGAGGCUGCAAGUUUAAUGAAGAGCAGUAAUGAAGACAUCUGCAAAUUUGACACCAACCAAGAAAUCAGCAGACGGAAGUGUGCAGAAAUGAAAGCGACUGGAGAAGGGGAAGAAACAGAACACAAAAAUAAAAUGGCUUCAUUCAGUCAUUUGCUAUUUGUUUUAAGUAAUGUUUUGGAGAAGAAGCUUGAAAUUAAUAGUUAAAAGAAAUUAUAUACAUACAUAUACCUAUAAAUACACACAUAUAUGUAAGUGGAUCUAGCAUUCAUGGGUCUUCUAGUUCCACAGGUAAUCAAGAGCCACUGCAAUGUCUUUUCUGACAGACUAAAUGAAAUCUACAACCUGCAACAUCAAAACUACCUCCACAUGUGUGUUUCAAGGUUGCACGGCUUUCUAGGGUCAAAUUCUAUCCAGGUUCUCCAUUCUUGAAAAGAGGAAAAUCCGUAACGCAAAAUACAAUACCUUUCAAAUGGUCUCUUUAAAUUCGCUACAAGCAUUGCAGCAAAACAAGUUUAUUAAGCUAAAAAGUUUAUUGAAGUUACCAGAAAAAGCUAAAAAUCUGCAUUUAGAAAGCCAUGAAUCACAUAUGUGUUUUGUAGGAGGAAGAGGUAUUGGAGGGUUUGUUUACUCUAAAGAGAAUUAAUUUACACUAAUUUCUAUCAUUUAAAAAUUAAGAAAAAAUAAUAAAACUUUUAAAAGCCUAAUAAAUAUAUAAAGACAACACCCUACCUCUAGAUUCAGCCUCAACUUGAUUUCUAACUAGAAUCUUGGGCAAGUGACAAUCUCUCAGGGGUCUUAACUAACUUAUCUAUACAAUGAAGAAAAGAUAUGAUCAACUGGCCCAAAGUGCUGGUUCCCUAGAGCUUGAGAAUUUUUUGAGAGGCUACUAGUUCCACUCAAAUGCCUAUGAGGUUAGGCAGGUAACAUAUCUGAAUGAAAAAGACCAGAGAGAGAAGAAUUUUUCUUGAGAGUGAAUCCUUAUCAGUCAAUCUUUCAUUAUUCUACACUCAGUAGUAAGAAAAAUAUUUCACUUUCUUCUUAGUUUUACUAUGAGAUAAACAAUAAUAAAUGGUCACCAAUCCUGAUAAAUGAUAGUGGUGUGGAGACCAUAGGGAAUGGUGGGGACUGUGGCAAACUAAAGAGAGUAGGGAAAGCAUCAAGCUAUUGUUACCACAUGGAAUUGAGGGUCUAAUGUUGCUAGAUGCCAAGAAUUUGGAUGUUUUUAGUGAAAUCUAAUUGUCAAUGUAGGCAAUCGAUUAAAAACACUAAAAAAACCCCACCUUAUGGGCCAUUACCAUUCUCUACAAACAAAACACAUCACUGGAUCAAAUAGGGCUCACAGGACACCAGUUUACAAUUUCUGUUCUACUAUGUCCCUCCGAUACUAGGAUCAGUACAUAUUAAAUAAUUUGCUAAUAAUGUCCCUUUCAUGAAAAGUCCUACUAUCAUAACCCACAGAAUAUUCACUGUGUUCUUUUUAUAGGCGGUACUCUGUCCUAGGACUUUCUGACUUAUCAUCUUAACUCAUCAUCACAAUAACUCUGAGAGGUAGAUAUACUGUUAUCCCAAGUAAGGCUCAUAAAGACCAAAUAACGUGUUCUAAGUCACACAACUCAUUUUUUACAGAAUUGAGUCUAAAAUACUGACAUGGAAAUAUUUACAAUAUUAUGCUGAAUGGAAAAAGGCGGCUAUAAAAAGUGUGUAUGAUUUUUAAAUUGCUUUUUAAAGACACCUUUUAUGAUUGAAUGUUAUUCUAUCCUGAAGAUAUGCCAUAAUAUACAUAAACAAGUCUCUAUCAUUAAACACUUGAGUUGUGCUUAAAAUCAUGUGGGGAAGCAUUUUUUUAAAUAUCCUGACUUCAUUUUUUUAAAAUCAUUAAUUGAUGGCCUAUAUGUCAGUUACUUUCAUUAAAAGCUGUCCUCAAAGGGAAAUAUGAGUUGUAAUGUAUCUCUGGUGAGCAAGGUUUAUCUUAUGUAUAUGUAAAAGAAGCCACAGGGCUUCUUUGAACUUGAAGCAGGAAUUCAGAUCGGCUACACAAAUUUUUAAGCUAUCUAAGCAAUCACCUCUGAAUCGGUGGGUCAGGUCCCAAAUUGCAUUCUUUGUCUCUUUGGUGGAAAGAAGCUAGGCUUCCCUCAGGCAACUUAGUUUGGAGAAUUGUACAAAGGAUUAUAGCGGUCUUCUCAGCUAGAAACUUCAGGAGACUUUAUUGACAUUUAUGAACUGAACUUUGAGAGCUACUCCUAUUAGCAGGCUAUCCUUUGGAGUCCUUUUGUCAACUAUACAGAUGACAAAAAGUACGUCUGCAUCUUUUCUCAAUUUUCCACUUUUCAUAGCAGUAGAAUCCCAAAUACUACAAUUUCAAAAUAACAGCUGCCAGGCUGCAGACACAGAGGGAUACAAACACCUUGGAGGAAAGGGACCAAAAUGAUGAUGCAACUUGAAAACAUGAUUUUUAUCCCUCAAUCUAGAAGACUUUCGAGAAUGAAAGGAGAGCUCUUAAUAAUCACGUUGGGAUGGCAGUCUUGCACACAAAGACUCUCCCUGGUAACCUGGGACACACAUACGGUCACUCUCCUAUGAAAGACAGUUGUAGAAACUGGAGAUAUUGAGUACAGAAAAGAGAGGAUGGGGAUGAGUUUGGAGGGUGGGGGACCUGCAAGCUGCUUUUAGGUGUCUGAAAAACUCCGUGAAGAACUGAUUUGAUGUGAUCCUAAUUCUAACACUUGGAGUGACUGGAACAUGAUGAAAAGGCUUUACAGUUUGAUGUAAUGGUCAUGAGUUCGGUUGUUGAACAGUCCUGUAUUCAAAUUCCAGAUGAUACUAACUAGAUGUGUGGCCAUAGACACGUUUCUUAACUUCAUUAUAAAAAGAGGACAGUGUUUUAAUGACUUACUGAGGUAAAGAGGAAAGCAAGCGACUCGAAAUAGGGGCUUAAUAAAUGUUAGCGUGUGCACGGUAUCUACUGCUAGAAAUAGUCAAGGAUAGGGACAAACCACCCAAGACGUAAUAUUAUGGGAUCUUUUAGGGAUUAACUAAAUGGAUAGUCAGAGCCAAACUUUUUUGACUAAUUUAACUUAGAGAUUAAAAAAAAAAUCAAUUGGUAAUUUUUUCUAGGUACGAGAUAAGGUUAUCUUAUGUAAAAUCUUAUUUU